CACAUGUCAUCACCCCCUCUCUCUCGUUUUCUCUCAGUCUCCUCCACACACACACACACACACACACACACACACACACGCGCCCAUGCUGUCACACGGUUCAACAGCACCCUAAGUUACACAAGUUAGUCUUUUACCCGGCUUCGUGUUUUGGCACUUUAUCUUCUGCUCGCAACUUGGGAAACCAGCAACUCUGCGAGCGGUCUGCUAGCUUCCUGUCACCACAAACAACGCGAACAGUUUAUAGUCGAACAAGAUCAAGGCAUUACAGACUUCCUGUUACAUCUCCAGUGUACGUCUUAUUUAUUGCAGCUAUGGAUCUUUGAUCCUGAAUAUAAAUCUACCAAUGGAUCUCCUUCUGAUGAAAACUUCAUAACUGCUUUCAAGUACACGGACUGCAAAAUUGUGCCUGCAACUGUAACACCAAGCCAGUGGGAUUUUUCUACUCAACAGGACAUUUUCUAAGGAGGCAUGAGUGACUCUAACAACACAUCCAAUAGGACUGUGCUGAUCCUGGCUUUCUGCCUAAUAGGCUUACUUUUAUUGCUGAUCUUCUUGUACAAGAAGUUGAACAGGGAUACAAAUGGAGAAUAUACCGUCAAGCGCAUGGUGUAUAAGGAGGGAGGGGUCAGGGACCGCGUGAGAGGUGCAGCGUUAGCUCUGGAGUCACGUCUUGGAGUCCAGCUGUGGCCUCAAAGCGACACUGAGGAGGAUGGAGAAGAAAUGCAGGAAAUCAGAGAUGAGGAGGGACAGGUGGAGGAAGGUGGUAGCCAGGGGAGUGACAGCGAGGGAGAGGACCAGGAGGAGGAUAGUGCGAAGGAAAAAGAAGGUGACACUUCAGAUGAUAACUCAAGUGUGCAGAGUUCAGAGGCAGGGGAGCAAACCAGGCUAACGGAUCAGGCGGACGCAAAGGAAGAGAAAGAGGAGAAAGUGGGUGACGGGGAAGGUAAAGGUGAAGCAAGUGGGGGGCCUGGAUUGUUGAUAGAUAUAAAGCAGUUCUCUGGAAGUGCCAUCUGGUCUGAGGAAGAGGGAUGUGAGGGCAAGGACGGUGAUAUGACUGUGCUGUGAGAACAACAUUAGAAAGAUCAUGAAAUAAAAGGGAAUCUCAGGAAAUAGUCUGAGGUCAUGAGUCCAAGUCCCCUAAUUAGCUGUUAAAAUAAAUUUUCUGUACAUUUUACUUCUCAACAUGAAAGUCUAAAGGCUGUUCCACACAGCUAGGAAAGAAACUAUUUGUGUUAGUCUAACAGUGGUCUAAAAAUACUGGAAUCACCCUAUAAAACACCCACCAUGUGUUAGUUUUUACUUGCAGAACGUAGACUCCCCCAUGUUGCUAAAACCCCAUAAAUUCCUCCUUAAACACACUGAGGACAUUGUCUUCAAUGGUAGCUACAGCUCUAGUCUUACUUCCACUUCCUGUUAUGGCAUCAGGAUAAAAAGGUGAUUGAUGAAUGAAGCUGUUAUACAUAAACAGGAAUACACUGGAAUUUGAAUGUUUGUUUAGGAAUUUACUUUUUAUAUCGUAAAUCUGCUCAGCUAAGAAAUCAAACUGUAUUAUUGUGUCCGCCUAUUGCAUGCUGUGUAUUGUGGACUUUGACACACUGUAUGUGUUAUUGCUUUAAAUGUUUUUUCUAAUUAAAAAAAAUUUAAACAAAAACUAAAA